rnacentral:pre_miRNA from 1 species
CAUAUACUCCCUGUGUCCCAAAAUUCUUGUCUUGGAUUUAUCUAGAUAUGAAUGUAUCUAGUCACAUUUUGGUAUUUAGGUACAUCAAUUUCUAUACAAAUCUAAGACAAGAAUUUCGGGACGGAGGGAGUACAUG